UCAAGAGGAACGCCCCGACGGGCGCAGAUCGCUUGGUUCAGUCAUGGGAGGACGUGGUUUCCGGCGCGCGAGAAGCGCCGCCCCGGUCUCGACACCGGAGCGGAACCCGGACCAGGCACCUUAAAAUGCGAAGCGAAAGCUUCGCAUUUUUUU
rnacentral:sRNA from 1 species